rnacentral:rRNA from 1 species
GCGGGCUGGAAUCUCUCGGGGUUACAGCCUUGCUGAAUUAUUCACCCUUGUCUUUUGCGUACUUCUUGUUUCCUUGGUGGGUUCGCCCACCACUAGGACAAACAUAAACCUUUUGUAAUUGCAAUCAGCGUCAGUAACAAAUUAAUAAUUACAACUUUCAACAACGGAUCUCUUGGUUCUGGCAUCGAUGAAGAACGCAGCGAAAUGCGAUAAGUAGUGUGAAUUGCAGAAUUCAGUGAAUCAUCGAAUCUUUGAACGCACAUUGCGCCCUUUGGUAUUCCAAAGGGCAUGCCUGUUCGAGCGUCAUUUGUACCCUCAAGCUUUGCUUGGUGUUGGGCGUCUUGUCUCUAGCUUUGCUGGAGACUCGCCUUAAAGUAAUUGGCAGCCGGCCUACUGGUUUCGGAGCGCAGCACAAGUCGCACUCUCUAUCAGCAAAGGUCUAGCAUCCAUUAAGCCUUUUUUCAACUUUUGACCUCGGAUCAGGUAGGGAUACCCGCUGAACUUAAGCAUAUCAAUAAGCGGAGGA